ACGAAAAUAAAAAGACCCAAAAAAUUUAUUUUCCCUCGAAAUUUCUCUCCUUUGUCUCUCUCCCUUCCCUUGAAUUACCCAAAACCUGAAACCCCAAGCAACCCCAAAAGUGGAGAACCCAAAUCGGAACCGCCCAAAAAAUUGAAGCUCCUUCAUUCUCCGUCAGUUCCGCUGCCCCAAAAAUUGGAGCUCCACCAUUUUCCCUCCCUCAAUUCUCCACCGUUCUCCCUCCCUUAGUUCACCUUCGGUAAUCUUUGUGUCUCCAUUUCCUCAAACCUCAGUUUCUCUCACUCAGCGUUCUCCCUCUCUCACUGGCAAACAUUCUUGAUAUUGAGAAAGCUAUAGCGGAAGGCUGAGGUUUGUACUUAUUGUAUCAGUGCUAAGUUUGUUGUCGCUUAACUUUCAUUUCAGAUUUUAUCUCUAUGGGAAUAUGUAGACUCUUCUGCUCUGUAAUUAACGGUUGAUGGUGAAGUUGCAAUUUUCACUUUGUCACCAAUGAAUAUGUAGCUCUAUUAAUUGAGGUUGGAACACCUAGUAACAAGAUAUAGCUCUUUUGGGUCAAUGGAGAAAGUCCAUGAGUUCCCACGAAAAGAAACAAGUUUAACAAAUGGGAACCUGAUUUCAUUUUGAACUGGUAAUGCAACGUACGGGUAUUCUUUCUUUCUCUCCCUUGUUUUUUGCUCUUUUAAGUGUCACUAUUGUCAAAAGUAACAAGUAGGAAAGUGUUUUAGGAUGGAUUAAGUUGGACAGUUCUUUGAGAACUUGUGAGUUUAUCAACAUUAUUGUCUCUUUGAAUCCUAGCUGCCGCUGGAUGGUCUAGAUGUAGUAAUAUUUACUGUUGUAUUUUUAGCAGAAUCAACAAGCAAAAAGUUUCAAUUGCACGUGCAUAUUUCUUGUGUACAAAUUGGCUGGUUUUCUUUUGUUCCACUCAUUAUUUGGGUAUACUCUUUGGAGCCCAACCAAACGAAUCAACCCCUUAAAGAUAAACUUUCAUCAAUAG